AAGUGGGGACCUUCGGGCCUCACGCCAUCAGAUGUACCCAGAUGAGAUUAGCUAGUAGGUGGGGUAAUGGCUCACCUAGGCUAUGAUCUCUAGCUGGUCUGAGAGGAUGACCAGCCACACUGGAACUGAGACACGGUCUAGACUCCUACGGGAGGCAGCAGUGGGGAAUAUUGCACAAUGGGCGCAAGCCUGAUGCAGCCAUGCCGCGUGUAUGAAGAAAGCCUUCGGGUUGUAAAGUACUUUCAGCAAGAAAGAAAGUAUUUUAGUUAAUAACUAAAAUAAUUGACGUUACUUGCAAAAGAAGCACCGGCUAACUCCGUGCCAGCAGCCGCGGUAAUACGGAGGGUGCGAGCGUUAAUCGGAAUUACUGGGCUUAAAGCGUACGUAGGCGGUUAAUUAAGUUAGAUGUGAAAUCCCCGAGCUUAACUUGGGAAUUGCAUUUAAAACUGGUUAGCUAGAGUCUUGUAGAGGGGGGUAGAAUUCUAGGUGUAGCGGUGAAAUGCGUAGAUAUCUAGAGGAAUACCAGUGGCGAAGGCGGCCCCCUGGACAAAGACUGACGCUCAGGUACGAAAGCGUGGGGAGCAAACAGGAUUAGAUACCCUGGUAGUCCACGCCGUAAACGAUGUCGACUUGGAGGUUGUGCCCUUGAGGUGUGGCUUCCGGAGCUAACGCGUUAAGUCGACCGCCUGGGGAGUACGGCCGCAAGGCUAAAACUCAAAUGAAUUGACGGGGGCCCGCACAAGCGGUGGAGCAUGUGGUUUAAUUCGAUGCAACGCGAAAAACCUUACCUACUCUUGACAUUCAGAGAAUUUGCUAGAGAUAGCUUAGUGCCUUCGGGAGCUUUGAAACAGGUGCUGCAUGGCUGUCGUCAGCUCGUGUUGUGAAAUGUUGGGUUAAGUCCCGCAACGAGCGCAACCCUUGUCCUUUGUUGCCAGCACGUAAAGGUGGGAACUCAAAGGAGACUGCCGGUGAUAAGCUGGAGGAAGGUGGGGAUGACGUCAAGUCAUCAUGGCCCUUACGAGUAGGGCUACACACGUGCUACAAUGGCAUAUACAAAGAGCAGCAAACUCGCGAGAGCAAGCGAACCUCAUAAAGUAUGUCGUAGUCCGGAUUGGAGUCUGCAACUCGACUCCAUGAAGUCGGAAUCGCUAGU
rnacentral:rRNA from 1 species